rnacentral:lncRNA from 1 species
AUGGAACUGACCAAGUGGACACCUCAGGGAAUCCCCAACCAGACCCAGGCCAGCACUGGUCUCAGCUCCCUGCUGAGGGACCACAUGGAGGGGAGGAGCAGCACCAACUCCACCAGGGCCCUGAAACUUCCAGAUGGGACCAGCGCCGCCUGGUACAUUCUCACCAUCAUUGGCAUCUACGGAGUGAUCUUCCUCUUCCGGUUGGCCAGCAACAUCCUCAGAAAGAAUGAUAAAUCUUUGGAAGAUAUUUACUACUCCAAUCUGACCUCCGAACUCAAAAAGAAAGGUCUCCAGAGCAAGGUGGCCGAAUGCUCUACACUGACCAUCAGCAACAGAGCUGUCCUCCAGCCCGGCCAGGCCAGCCUGGGGCCAAAAUAUAAAAACAGUGAGUGCCAAACUGAAAUCCAGGGGAUCCCUUGAAAGUCAAGGCACGCUGAACUCCACAGAAGAGGCCCAACCUUCCUACCAGGGGAGACAGCUUUGAGUUUACCUGGAAUGUUGAGAGAGGAGUCGGGUACUUGAAUGGGGCUGGAAGAGCAUCCCUGGGGCACUUAGGCCAAUGGGAGUGUGAUCGGAGCCAGUGUCCCAUUUCCUUCUCAGGCUUUGUGGCACUUUGAGACAGGACAGCAGGGGCGGCAGCUUCUGGUCAUACCCUUCACCGGGAAAGCUUGCAAUCUGGGGAAGGACUUGGAGCAUUCAGUGUUCUCAGAGAAUCUAGGAGAUUCCUGAGGGUAUAUGUGAAUGUAGCCUCUUGUCAUGGAAAGAAGGCUGAAUUUGGAAUUGAGCAUCCUGGAUUCAAGUUUUCAACUUCCAGGGGGUCACAUGAACUUUGAACAACUUGUGGCUCUCACCUGGAACACACAGCAGUGGGCUGUAUGGUUUCAAAGAGCCAUUCAUUCUAGACGUUCUCACUUGACUAUAAAACCAAGGUUCUUCAUUUUCAUUGAGGUCAUGGCAUCUAUUGAAAAAGAGCAUUGGUUCUGGAGUCAGAAGAAUCAAACUCUAGUUAAGGACACUUUGAUGUCCUUGAACACACCAUCUCAUUUCUCUAGACCUUAGUCUGCACACAGAUAAAAUGAGAAUAAUAAUGUCUGUUCUGCCAAUCUUGUAAAAUAGAUAAGAGCUAAUGAAAUCAUGCACAUGAAUAUAUUUUUCAAAGUAAAAAUAAAUAUGUAAAAUAUAAGUCCUGUGUUCAUAGUGGUGAUGGUAGUUGAUGCUGAU